rnacentral:rRNA from 1 species
CCUACGGGUGGCAGCAGUGAGGAAUAUUGGUCAAUGGACGAGAGUCUGAACCAGCCAAGUAGCGUGAAGGAUGACUGCCCUAUGGGUUGUAAACUUCUUUUAUAAAGGAAUAAAACGAGGCACGUGUGCCUUUUUGCAUGUACUUUAUGACUAAGGAUCGGCUAACUCCGUGCCAGCAGCCGCGGUAAUACGGAGGAUCCGAGCGUUAUCCGGAUUUAUUGGGUUUAAAGGGAGCGUAGAUGGGUUGUUAAGUCAGUUGUGAAAGUUUGCGGCUCAACCGUAAAAUUGCAAUUGAUACUGGCAGUCGUGAGUACAGUUGAGGUAGGCGGAAUUCGUGGUGUAGCGGUGAAAUGCUUAGAUAUCACGAAGAACCCCGAUUGCGAAGGCAGCUUACUAAACUGUGACUGACAUUGAUGCUCGAAAGUGUGGGUAUCAAACAGGAUUAGAUACCCCUGUAGUC